AACGAACGCUGGCGGCAGGCCUAACACAUGCAAGUCGAACGCCCUAGCAAUAGGGAGUGGCAGACGGGUGAGUAACGCGUGGGAACGUACCCUUCGGUUCGGAAUAACCCAGGGAAACUUGGACUAAUACCGGAUACGUGCGAGAGCAGAAAGAUUUAUCGCCGAAGGAUCGGCCCGCGUCCGAUUAGCUAGUUGGUGAGGUAAUGGCUCACCAAGGCGACGAUCGGUAGCUGGUCGAGAGGAU
rnacentral:rRNA from 1 species